rnacentral:rRNA from 1 species
UACGGCGGUGAUAGCAGAGGGGAAACGCCCGGUCCCAUCCCGAACCCGGAAGCUAAGCCCUCCAGCGCCGAUGGUACUGCACCCCACCGGGUGUGGGAGAGUAGGACACCGCCGAACACACAU